GUGAACCUGCGGAAGGAUCAUUAUAGUAAUUGACCCUGAGGUUAGAUGCUGGCCCGCGAGGGCACGUGCGCGCCUCUCUCUCACAUACCCCUUGGUCGGGGAUGCCUUUCCCUCGGGAGGGGCGUUCCCUUCCACCUUAUACCACAUCCUGUCUAACCGCAUGUCUUUGAAGCUCUACGGAGCGAGUAACGUUUUAUACAACUUUCAACAACGGAUCUCUUGGCUUUCGCAUCGAUGAAGGACGCCGCGAAAGCGCGAAACGUAAUGUGAAUUGCAGAAUUCAGUGAAUCAUCGAAUCUUUGAACGCAUCUUGCGCUCCUCGGUAUUCCGAGGAGCAUGCCUGUUUGAGUGUCGUGAAACCACUCAACCCCUCCUUCGAGUGCAUUUGAAGGGGGUGGUUGGAUUUGGACGCUUGCGGCGGUCCUCUUGUCGGGACCCGCCGCUCGUCUUCAACGCAUUAGCUUGGCCCCCUUUCGAGUCGGCGAUAUGGACGGUGUGAUAAUUGACGCCUUGAACGCCGUCUGGCCGAUUUGGAUUUGGGUCUCUCGUCUUCGGACAAUGUCACAUUCAGUCUGACCUCAAAUCAGGUAGGACUACCCGCUGAACUUAAGCAUAUCAAUAAGCCGGAGGAA
rnacentral:rRNA from 1 species